rnacentral:rRNA from 1 species
CCUACGGGAGGCUGCAGUGAGGAAUAUUGCUCAAUGGACGAAACUCUGAUGCAGCAAAGCCGCGUGAGUGAGGAAGUAUUUCGGUAUGUUAAGCUUUAUCUGCAGGGAAUAGAAACGAAGGUAGCUGAAAAAUAAGCCCCGACUAAAUACGUGCCAGCAGCCGCGGUAAUACGUAGGUGGCAAGGGGUAUCCGGAUUUACUUGGUAUAAAGGGAGCGUAGACGGUAAGUUAAGUCAGAAGUGAAAGUCCAAGGCUCAACCAUGAGACUGCUUUUGAACCUGGCAAUCGAGAGUACAGUAGAGGUAAGAGGAAUUCGUAGUGUAGCGGUGAAAUGCGUAGAUAUUACGAGGAACACCAGUUGCGAAGGCGUCUUACUGGACCGAAACUGACGUUGAGGCUCGAAAGCGUGGGUAUCAAACAGGAUUAGAUACCCGAGUAGUC